ensembl:snoRNA SNORA70 Small nucleolar RNA SNORA70
CGGCAUCUGACUAAGCCCACCAUGCUUCCUUUCCUGUGGGGCCUGGAGUGCAGUGGCUGCAAGCAACAGCCUCCUGAGUUUGCAUCCUGUUUCUUGUGCAGUUUGUUCCAAGGCACCUUGAAGACAGCC